rnacentral:rRNA from 1 species
UACGAAGGGGGCGAGCGUUGUUCGGAAUUACUGGGCGUAAAGGGCGCGCAGGCGGCUCUGAAAGUCAGAUGUGAAAGCCCCGGGCUUAACCUGGGAACUGCAUUUGAUACUCUGGAGCUUGAGUACGGGAGAGGAUAGUGGAAUUCCCAGUGUAGAGGUGAAAUUCGUAGAUAUUCGCAAGAACACCAGUGGCGAAGGCGGCUCACUGGCCCGAUACUGACGCUGAUGCACGAAAGCGUGGGGAGCAAACAGG